UUUUGAGUUCCAAAAGAGAAGGAGAGUUGAGAUGAAGAUCAGUAAUUCCGAGCAUCUCUCCGUCGAGCCUUCUUCUUCUUGUUCUUAGGAGCAGAAAGCUGGGAAAUAGAGCGUAUUUUCGGAGCUGGUUGAUCAUCGACUGGAUCAGGAUCUGGAACACUAGCUGGGAUGAUUAGAACGCCAUCUUCAGACUACACAUGGUUGAAUCAUCAGCAGUUGAAUAGAAAUGAUCAUCAUACUAUCCAUAGGAAGAAUAUUCAUGAUCUAAAUCACCUCUUACUUCCUCACUUUAUGAGCGAACAAAAGAUUUAACCAGAAAUAACAAUGACACAGAGAGUAAAAUGCAAGCUUAAUGAAAACAAAUAAAAGCACACAUCCUCCAUUUACCUACCUAUUUUGAAAAUCACGAUAUUCUUUUUUGAAGGGUUAAUGAUAAAUGAUAAGUCAUAGGUGCCUACAUAGUGAGUUAUAUUGAAGUACUCACAUUGGUGUUUGUACCCACAGGUAAGGAACAAUCUGUGCUUUCAAUCACAUCAGGGACGUUCACUGCCUGUCCAUGUCUUGCAGCUGCACUGUCAGGAGGCAUAACCAUAUUAUACUCAGAUAUCAGCUGUGAUACAACAUCAUGUGAUCCCGCUGGCAUUUUGCCCCGAUUGUCUUGAAGAAGGGCAGAGCUUCCCAAAACAUUACAUGGUAGAAGCGAAUUCAAGUCACCUGUGCUGGAGAACAUCCCAUUCUCACUUGUUACCUUGUCAAGUCUAGUUUUAAGCUGGAUAACUUGUGACUGAAGAACCCCAAUUUUGUGGAGUAUUUUUUCCAGGGAAGCAUCACCAUCAGCAGGAUGUUGGUGCAAGUCAUCAUCAGCAUUGAUCUUGUCAGAGCAGAUGGCUACAGAAUUAAGAAGUGAAAUGAUUUAAUUCUUCCAACAAUUAGAAGAAAGCUAGCAGAAGAACUAAGCACACGCAACAGGCGAUUUUGUAUAGGAUUACAUUUACAAAGGGUGUGCUGGGUAAAGAAAUUUCCCCCCUUUUUUGUAUAUCUAUGUGCUUAAAUAUAAUAUUCAAUGAUCAUACUAUUUAAAUUUUAUUUUGUGGAAAGAUAUUAGUUAUGUUGUUAUUGUAUUUUUUAAAGUUAAUACUUUAUAAUUCUCAAUUCAAUGUGAUCAAAUGUUGAAGAAAUAACUACAAUCUUCCUUCAAAAGUAGUGCUUUUUUGGGAAACCGACACGGGUGCAGCAACAUUUUUGGAGAGUCCAAAAACUUAGGUCUUAAUCAUUUAGUGUUUAAAUUAUCAUUGUUCCCACCAAUUACAAACAGUCGCUAUCACCUGGCCUAUCACCUUCAUUGUUAUAAUUACAUCCACUACCACCUCACCGUCACAAUCAGCCACUACCACCAUUUAGGUCAAUUUCUACUACAAACCAUCUUCACCAUCACAAGUAGCACUAUUUCCAACUAUCACCACCAGUCUUAACCAACCAGUCUGAUGAAACCUAACUGACAGUGCAGUCUCGAGCCACCACCUAACCGUUCACACCAAGCAAUCUUGUACCUUUCAAUGAAAGUACUAACUAAUUCUAACUGAUCAAUGAAAGUAGAAUAGGACUUGUGGCAUAUUGACAGAAUGAGAAGUCACCAGCAAUAGGCAAUUAGGGAUCAACUUCACUAACAAAUCUCAGGUACACAGAAAAGGAAAAGUUCUAACUGAACUGGAAAACUUCAAUCUUUAACAUCUCCCUGCAACAUUAAAGAAACUUGUACUCGAGAAAUAAUUGUAAAUUCUUAACCAAACAGCAGCUGUGUUGCACAAGAAGUCGUAAUUCCAUAUAGCUUCCAAACAUAGCCUAUGUUGUGUGUGCAAAUAGCCAUUAAUAGAAGACUUGAAUAGGAACAACAUAUGUAUUGCUAACAUUUUGAUGUUACCAAAUUAUUUUUCCACCAAGAAGCAACAAAGAGCCACAACAACUGCAACUGAAAAUUAAGAAAAGGAUGCAUUCGAACCUAUUUUGUCCAACUCGUUAUCCAGAAAAGAACCAUCAGCACUUGAAUUUCUUUUUUC